UACAGAGGUCUCAAGCGUUGUUCGGAUUCAUUGGGCGUAAAGGGUGCGUAGGCGGCGCGGUAAGUCGGGUGUGAAAUCUCGGAGCUUAACUCCGAAACUGCAUUCGAUACUGCCGUGCUUGAGGACUGGAGAGGAGACUGGAAUUUACGGUGUAGCGGUGAAAUGCGUAGAUAUCGUAAGGAAGACCAGUGGCGAAGGCGGGUCUCUGGGCUGACACUGACGCUCAUGCACGAA
rnacentral:rRNA from 1 species